GAGGAUGCAAGUCUUGAAUCUCUCUGUGGUAACUGAUAAACUAUGUAAGAAAAUGUAUGAAUGCAUCGAGACUGAUUUAUUGGGAGCUCUACAGUUUAGUAGUCACAAUAUAGCUCCGUACCAGUCAAAGGGCAUUGAGAGAGCAACAGAGCUUAAUGGAGGCCGGAACGCCAAAGCAAACAACAACAUUACAUGUCAAAAAGCCCAUGACCAGACUAAUGGAGGUUCCAUAGAAUUGGUUCAUCCAUCAGGUUGUGGGACAUCAGAUGAGAGUGGAUGCUCCUCAAGGAAGCGUACAAGAGAGGAUUCCGGUGGUAGCUUUUUCGAUCUUAACUUGCCUGCUGAGCUCAUUGAUAGGAAUUGACCUUAUUGAGUUGCUAGUUAUUUU
rnacentral:misc_RNA from 1 species